GGUGGCUCAAUGGUAGAGUGCUUGCCUUGCAUGCAUGAGGCCCUGGGUUCUAUUCCUUAGCACCA
rnacentral:tRNA from 1 species